UCUCCGUUGGUGAACCAGCGGAGGGAUCAUUACCGAGUUUACAACUCCCAAACCCCUAUGUGAACGUCACCAAACUGUUGCCUCGGCGGGAAAUUCAUGCCCCGGGCGCGUCGCAGCCCCGGACCAAGGCGCCCGCCGGAGGACCAACCAAAACUCUUUUGUAUGUCCCUCGCGGACUUUUAUAAUUCUGAACCAUCUCGGCGCCCCUAGCGGGCGUUUCGAAAAUGAAUCAAAACUUUCAACAACGGAUCUCUUGGUUCUG
rnacentral:misc_RNA from 1 species